ensembl:lncRNA
ACUCACCUCGGGAGGUUGGUUUAGUGGGAGUAGAUCUCUCUUGCAGCUCAGGGCUCAUCCUUCACUUGGAGGACUCCCUGUGAGGCUCCAGACCGUAGAGCCUGGCCUCUGGCUUCAUGCAAGCCACCAUUCUGCAAUGUCCGGCUGGAGAAGAGAUGCAGGAAGGAAGGGAGAACUGUCUUUAAAAGCAGUAAGGGACACACCAUGACACCUCCUCAACAUCUGCAGGGAGAUGAAACUAGAUGGACUAGACGGCCUUCAGAGGUCCCUUCCAACUCUAAGGAUUCUAUGAAACACACAACCAUCUCCAAACCAUCACGCUCAUUACACUUCACACAUGCUGCCAGUGCUGAGGAGGUUAAGGAAUCCCCAGCUGUGUGAGCCCACGAGAGCCCAACAGUACACCAUCCAAGGUCACAGAAUCACACAAUGGUUUGGGUUGGAAGGAACCUUAAGGGCCAUCUAGUUUCAACCCACCCUCCAUGGGCAGGGCUGUCAAACACUAGAUCAGGCUGCCUAGGACUCCUGAUGGAGAAGAUCCCAAAAGAUCACAGCCUUGCCUUUCAGCAGAAAUACCAUUUCCCUGUGGGCUCCUGCAGGUGGGCUCCUCCAGAGCACUGCCCAGUGCAGUGGAUAAUUAACAGGUGCUUCUGGAGUGCAAGAUACAACUGCCACAGGGCUUCCUGCAGCUCUAGCAGCACUGAGCCCCACUUAGUUAAAUCUCUCUUACUUCCUACGGUAUGAAUCAAUCCCACCAUCUCUCCUCUCCACACAUCUCAUUGCUCACAGGAUGCAAAGAAGAAUCCUGGAGAGCCCAUUAAAAGCCACUCGACUGGAAAAUAGUUUCUGGCCUAAUUCUAGCACCAGGGUCUUAGCUGGGGAGAGAAAUCUGACAGCAAGAGCGCGCCUGUGGGGAGGAGAAGGCAUAGCUGUUAACUACUUCACCAAUCUAAUGUAUAGCACUCUCCAAGAGCAAUUAAUAAUUAAUAUUCGUAGCCUGCUUAAAUCUGUUGACUCCGUAAACCACAGCCUCUCACUUAAAGGACUCUUGGAAUGCUGAGACAAACUGAAGAACAUCCCCCAUGGAGAGACUCCGCAUAAACAGCUCCUCAGCCCUAGUUUUAAUCCCUCUGCUUCUCUUUAGAGGGAUUCUGCUUCUCUUCUCUUUAUCUUGUUUAAUUAAGGAUAAUUUCUUAGGAACAGCUCUUACAGAGGUGGAUGGAAAGUCCAGCGUGACAGGAGCUGGGUCUCUGCUCCCUGUGAUGCUAUACCAGUGCUAUAAUGGGAGUAGUAAGGCACUGGGUUGGUACAGGAUGCUGAAGUCACUAAGUCCAAUGCCCCUCAAAGGAUACGUUCAGAUGUUCCCAGGCCACACACACAUACCAGAGCAAAGCUUUGCAGGACAACAGGGGAGGCUCUGUAGCACUGGUUACCCUACAGAUGGACAAACGCUGCCGACAGAUGGUAGUCUUGUCUCCUUUCAGGCACCUGGGAUUAUCAGCCAAGGUAGAUUAUCAGAUUUAAGGGUUUGUAAAUAGAUUUAUCAGAUUCUGGAGUUGGGCUUAUUGCCUCAAAGAUGAGCGAGCACUUUCUGAAGACCAAAAUGAAUCACUAGAGCAUUGCAGCUCAAUUUGCAGAAGCUCCAAGCCUACCGAAGCUCCAGCUUUUGCCCUCUUUUACAAUGGCCAAGCAAUUCCAGUGGAGAACACUGAAGCUCUGCCCAUGUCCCUUGGUAAUGGCUGACUCAUAUUAAGAUGAAAGAAAGGCCACUAGCCCUCCCUUAUUAUUCCAUAGUAAAUGUUCAGCACAGCUCCAUGCCUGCUCUCCACCAGCACCCAGACUCACUGCAAAUCCUGUACCACAAUGGGAGAUCACAGACAUGCAAAGUAAAUGCACGGAACUGGAAAGGUUAAAGGCAGCAAACCUCCAUUCACUGCCACCAUUCCAACCAAUCCUCCCUCCUAUGCCAUUACCCCUAAUCCAGUUUGUCCUCAUUCAUAGCUGCAAAUGUAAAGCAGUUUCUCCAGCUCUCACCAUUGUCACCAUCUUAAUCUGAGUUUCAGCCACCAAAAGAUGCCUGAUGUCUAGGCACAAGGUCGCAGUACCUGUGAGGUCAGGGUCGUAUCAGCUGACAGCGUAGGGCUGCAUAUCAGCAGCAUGCUGAUGAAACCAGGCUACAAGGCUUAGUAAGCUGCUACAGGAAACACACACUGCAAGGCAGAGAGGAGGAAUGGAGUAGAACAGGUUUUCUCGAUGGGAACCAUAAGUACUGAGGAUCUGAUUGCCUUCUAUAGAUGUCCCAAACCAGAAGAGUGCUAUGAUUCGGGCCAAGAAUUAGGCACCUUUCUGAAUCUGGGCUAUCCGAUCACCCAGAUUGCCCUAAUUUUGUCUCAGGGGCUGAGCUGAAGCAGAGUUCACCUUUUCUUUUGACUAGACACAAGACUUGGAGAUCUUACUAUCUUUUACAUAUUACAUGUUGGGGUAAUUGAAUAUACAGACAUACGACGUGUGCUGUCGCAGAUUUGGGUCUUUCCUUGUAUGUGUGUCUUAUUUGCUCUCUUGUAACCCAAGUUUGGUAAAACAUGAAAAGUUCUUCUUUCAUUACAAGCAACAUCAUCCUCUUAUCUGUAUUAUGAAUUAUAUUUAAUCACUGCCACGGUUUAAUCUGGUGAUGUUUUUCUAAGAUACACAAAAGUUUAAAUCAGUAAGUCACACAUGUAAUUUUCUACCUUAUUUUCCACAUAAACUCUACUAUUUAGUUUAAUCAGCAUUCAACAAAUACAAUUCUAUUGAAAAUUGUUUUUCUUUCAGAAGUAGAACCGAGAAAGGCCUGCUAGCUAGCAUUUAAGUGAGAUAUCAGGGAAUAGUUAUACCACUCUCUUUGAAUUAAUAAUUUGUAUUUAGAAAGGAGGAAAAAAAAAUGCCUAUAUUUUUCCCUUGCUUGCUAUAUAAGCUAAGGACAACCAGUGUGAUUCCUUGGUUAACCUGGCAGUACGGAACCAAGCCUCAUCAGGACGAACCAUGGAAGAAUGUCACAGUUCCAAACAUCAGCAUGUGGGGGAAAACAAACAAACCUUUCUUGCUAUUUGCCUCCGUGUUUGUGCAUAUUGUCUUUACACACUAAGCAAAUCAGAUCCUUUCUCUGGAGUCUCAUAGUGAGUUAGAUAACCAACAGCUCUGGUUCCCCCAAGUAUAAUAAAAUACUUUUUUUUUCCUUUUUACCAAAAUGAGAACAAACCACAGUCUGACUUUGUAUGAAACACAUUAUUCCAAAUCAAACUGCUUCGUGUGGUCACCAGGUACCUGUACAUAUUUUUGGUAGAUUUCAAGAAAAGGAUACACGAGACUUGAAAUCUGAAGUUCUCCAUUUUCGUUGGAACAUGAACUGGAAGGCUUCUGGAUUACAAAUCUCCUUCCUCUUCCCUCCUCUGGAAGUGGGCAAAACCUAAAAGAAUUUCUGAACGUUUCAGGGUUGCUAGAUUUUGGGAGGCAGCCCACAGCAGUACCGUCAUUGAAAGACAACCCACCCAGCUUGCCUAUUUUCAGUUUAUGAAAGGAAACCUGGCGGGUCCAUAAUAUCUGCCAGGGCUUCCAACUGCUAAUGGGAGAGGUGCCAGGAGCUCUCUUGAGCAGGCAGUGGAAUUGCAGAUUGCUGGACUCACCUUACAGCAGCUGAGUGCUGUCGGCUUAAUUCCAACCUUUUCUCCUUCAUCUGCAACCUCCAUUGUAAGAUCGAUAGCAUCUCUUCACAUCCAAGCAACACAUUCUUACAGGAAGAGGUACUGGAUCCUAGCAGCAGGAGCAGACCUAAGAUACACCAAAUACACAAGGAACACGGGCAAAUGGCUGCCUUUACUCUCGUUCCUACUAAUGUUGCCAUUAACAGAUUCCCAGUGCUCACUGCUGCGAAUCCUGACACCCACCAGCACUCCCUCAAAGCAAUUCUUCUUCAUGAAAUCUCUGCUUCCCCUCCGCCCGCUCAGGUUCAAACCUACUGAGAACAACAAUAUUCCCCUGGAAGAAAGAUGGAGUAGGCAAGGUUGGAGAGCAUGAGACUCCUUCUGAAAGCAGGCCCACAGCCGGCAACUCUGGACAACAACAUCCAUUUUGCUAAUGACUGGAAUAAUGAUGGCAUUCUUGUUAGUAACUGUGGAGAUAACAAGGCAAACACUAGUCGUAAUUAUUGUAAAAUGUGCAGAAGGCAAUUUGGAAUAAUAAAUGUUUCGAAUGCAGAGAGCACACGCGCACACAAAAGAGCCCGUCGUUAGCUGGAGCUCUCCGUCUGUGCCAUACAAGGGCCCUCUUGAUUGCAUUGUUUGGAGGAACAUGCCAUGCAGUUGGCUUGGAUUCAAGAACGCCGUGUCCCUCUGCCCCAACAAGACAGCAUCCUUCUGCACCAACACAGCCAUGGCCCACUGCCCAGCAAGACUACAUCCCACUGCCCCUGCAAGGCCAUGUCCCACUGCCCCAGCAAGGCCAUGUCCCACUGCCCCAACAAGGACAUGUCCCACUGCCCCAACAAGGCUGCAUCCCCCUGCCCCACCAAGACUACAUCCCACUGCUCCAUCAGGGUAAGCAACUUAUGCAUGCUCCUCUGCUUACUGAACCGCAAGAACUCCUUCUGGAUUCCUGGCUGAAACAAAAAAAAAUCAAAGCUGAGUCAAGGCCCUUGGGAGGAGAGGAAGAAAUUAAUACCCACAGCAACAACAAGCACAGGGUUGAAGUGCUCCAGCAUUUCCACAGGGCUGUGAUGGCAGUGGUCCUUGACAGCUGCAGCCACCACCUUGCAUGCCCUCCAAGUCUGUUGUUGCAUGAGGACAUUUAUUUGCAGUGGUCUCCCCUCACCGUAACACAAGCUGGCAUUUGAGGUGCAACAUGACUCAUGGGCAGCAGUGAGAGAGGAGAGGCAGGAAAAACAGCCAGAGGAGAAGGGUGGGGUGAGGAGUCCAAAGGAUGAGCGAAGGAGAGGAGGAAAGCCAAGGAGAAGAAAAGGGCGCCCCAGAGACUCUUGUUCGAAAAGCUGAAGAAUCUCUGCCAAAGCAAACAGUUGGACAUGUAGGGCUCUACACGUCUCUGGUUAAUUUUGACCAUCUGGCAUUUACUGAAAUUGUCUCCCUUUGUGUUUUCCACGAUGAAGUGGUUUUGUAUUCCCGCCUUCUCUCCUUUGAUUCAACAUGUAGCUUCUGUCCUGCCUUCCAGCUCUCUCCUCCCUACAGUAACUGUUGAGCAAAGAACAUGAGUGUGGGAAUGACUCCAAGGAGGGUACCAGCGGUGGAAGGUGAGCACGUGCACACACACAGACAGCCAUGACCCAUGGACUCUGCCCUCCCUCCUACUCACAUCUGACGUACUUUGCCCUCUUUGACUCCCAGCCUGGGAAAGCAACAGACCGAGGAGAAAGACGGACAGAAGUUAGAAAGGGGAGCUCAGCCACAGAAAAGCAAGGCAGAAAAACCUUUUAGAAGCGGCAAUUGCAACGUGAUGACAGGCUGGUGGAAUGGAAUUAGCGGAGAGGAGGGCUCUGCUCACGUCCCCCUCUCCUUGAACUGCCGUGUGAUGAGAAAGAAGCCAAAAGAGACAUUUUGUAGGGAACUUUGACACAAGUGACUCUCCUGCAACAAGGGCGAGAGACUGAAAUAAUCAACAUUUUCUGCAGAGCAGAAAUGCAAACAUUCAAAUUCACAUUUUAACUGACAGUUUCAGUCAAAAUACAUCAGCCUGAUGUAUUCUUCAAUUAGAAGAGAUUCACAGACUCCUUUCAUUGCAUAGCCUGCAGUCCCAGACCAGAUUAUACAGCCACGCUUCCAUAGCUUGCAUUUCCUGUAAGUCAGCAAGGCUCCUGCUGCAUUCCCCAGUUGAUUGCAAGGACUGGCUUAGCAGCAAGCUUAUCCCAAUGAAAAGAAUUAAGGCAACACAACUGCAAGGCUGGGGGAACACCUCCUUGCCUCCAUGUGGGCUCUGAACUUUUCAGAGCCAGAACGUUGCGCGUUGCAAAACCUUCCCAAGUGAGCAUACCCUGAUGCUUUGCGUGCUGCUGUGAUGCUCCCAGUAGCCACAAUGCUUGCGGGCUGCAGGCAGAAGCUCAGCGGCUCUGCUGGCACAAAUUAGCGGAGCUGAAACUUUAGAUCAGUGACAGAGUCUGCCUCCUGGGAGCAGUAAAUUGCAGUGCUGGUCCCCAAAGACCCUCCUUGCCAUUAAGUGAUUAAUGAAUUCAUUAACACCUCUAAGAACACAGGAAAUAUGACACAGACAGCCUGCCUAGGCUUUGCAAAGGAUUUUUUUCAUCCUUUUUUGGAACUGCAGAGAAUAGCAACUAAUUAAGCUAUAGGGCCCGUAGCAGCACUACUAUGUUUAUCCUUUGGGGGCAAGGAGAGUGGUGAGAUUCUCUGUCUCGUGCUCUGAUAUGCUUUUAUUUGACCCAUAAUGAAAAGCUAAAAGAAGGGGUUAUUGCUAAAAGAAGGGGUUAUUGCUAUUAUAAACCCUCCCUUUGAAAGAUGAGGGGGAAUAAAAGACAUUUACUGCAAUGGUUUUAAAUGGGCAGCCCAGGGUGGUGGUUGAGACCCAUCCCUGGAGGUGUUCAAGAAACGUCUAGACGUUGUACUGAGGGACAUGGUUUAGUGGGGAAAUACUGGGGGUAGGUGAGUGGUUGGACUGGAUGAUUUCGGAGGUCUUUUCCAACCUUGGUGAUUCUGUGAUUCUAUGAAUCACAGCAUUCCCAGUUCAAGAGUGGAAUGGUCCCAGGGGAAAACUGGAGGUAACUGUCAAGGCAAGGACGGGGAGAACUGUACAAUUGUCUCUUCAAUCCCUAUGAGAUUUCUUAAUUCUUGCCCUCGAGACCACUCCAGUGACAACCUUAUUUACUAAACAUAAUACAACCAGCAGACUGGACACAUGGGUUAGAGAGUGCGCUGGACUUGUGUCUGACACUUGCAUCAAAGCAAGGCACAAGGUUAUUUCUCAGAGCUCCUGGCACUGCAAAGCAGCUGACAAGGCAACCCUUCCCUGCACAGAGAUGACAUGUACCCUGGAUGGGCUUCCAGGUCUGGUUUCCUGCUGAGCCCAUGGUCUAGCCCCAUCAAAAGGUCCCACCUGCAGCCAGGCUCUACUGCUAUGGAGAAGAUGAGAUUCAUCUCUACAGCCACCAAUAACUGCAGAAAGUCCUCUCCAUAACUAACCAUUACAACUCUCCUUCAACCCCAAAUGGCACCCAAUGGCUUGCGCCAUGGCUUUUAGCAUCCUGUGAGAACUACUUUGAAAAUAUGGGCUUGUGCUGCAUGACCACUCACUUCUGGCAUGGGGAGCCACACCAACCCAGGGGGACAUGAAAUGCCUUGUAUGCAAGUGUUUGCAUUACUUCAGCAUGAACAGAGUGGUGGAGAACCACCGUGUGCACCUGCUGUGGGCAGCUAUUGGGACUUCAGGAGGUUUGAAAUUGUAGAGAAUCAAGCCCAAAAGACAACUUACUUUCAAAGAUGGAUAGUAAAUUGCAGGGAGUUCAGAGAAAGCCACUAGGAAGAUUAAAGGGCAGGAGGUAUUGAUUUACGUAGGAAGAUCAAAAGAGCUAUAUUUGUAUACAGUAGUUUAGCUAAGUGAUGACUACGUGUUUAAAGGGAAGAGUUUGAAGGACAUAAACCAAAUGAGGCACCAUUAGAGUGAGUGCAGUGAAGAGAAUUUAACAGGAGUAAUAGAAUGAAAGAAAAGGAGGGGGGGGGAAGGGAAAUCUCAGCUGCAUGCCUGCUGAUGCUUCUUGGCAGGACAUUGUUGACAGUACCACUGACACAGAAGUUUGGCAAACCAAUGUCCCAGGGCAUUUCAGGGCCCAUCCUGCACUUUGUUGCUUGCCCAUUGCACCUCCUCUGCCAAUGCAGCCUGCACCACACCACAGCACCUGGGGAGGAUCUCAGGUUAGCUCCAACCAUCCCAGCACAAGCACUGCCCUUCAGCAUGGGGACACUGAGAGAUCUCAGACAAAUUCUGAACCAUGGGAGCCCUGUGACUGCUCCACCUUCUUCUAAUCAUAGAAUCACAGAAUCAUUAAAGUUGGAAAAGACCUCUAAGAUCCCCAAAUCCAACCCCAGCCCAUCCCACCAUGCCCACUGACCACGUCCCUCAGCGUCGCAUCUCCACUGCUCUUGAACUCCACCAGGGACAGUGACUCCACUACCUCCCGGGGCAGUCUGUUUCAACAAAGCCCAGAACAAAGCAGCUACAUGUCUUAAAUCCACUUCUGGGUGCUCCACUGUCCUGCUCCUUGCACAAGGCCUACAGAUCUCAUCUCCAGAUUUUAAGCUCGUUUAAACAUUAUUGGAGCUACUGCUUCUUGUCUGGACCUAGUGUUUGCAAAGCAUUAACCUGAACAUGGCACAAAACCUGACCCAUCUGCAUGAUCUGGUGGCAUACCAGCUUGCAAGGGACCUGCUGCCUCACCCCACUCUCGCACUGCCCUCUCCUAACUGAGAGAUGCCACAUUUGCAGAAAUAGGGCUGGGACCACAUCCAGAAAACCCAAAACUAUAUUUUUCCUUGAGAUAAUUCAGACUUGAGAAAAAGUUAGCUGAAUUGACUACAAAGUGACCUACCUCAGCUUCCCUCUAUGGGCUCACACUGACAGAUGUCUCACCAUUGCUUCCAAGAAGAGCAGAGCCAGGAGCAUUCUGGAGACCAACACCUUGGAAAGAGUCCAUGGAGAGGAACACCGUAUGCACAGGACAGGCAGGAUGCACGUCCUUCCCUUCCUGAGGGAGUCUGAGGCUAAGCCCCAUGCUGUAAAGACACAAGAGUGUGCAGGACGUGAGCUGGGAAGGACCUGGAGGCCAGAUGUGUCGUUGGACAUAGAUGCAGCUGGAUUUUUAAGCUAUCUCAUAGCUUGUUAUCUGCUUACUGUGCUAAAAGCUGCAGCUGACCAUUGUAGCAACACAUAACCAACCCCUAAGA